GAUAAAACUGAAUUAGCUGUCAUGGUGAUUCUGCUGUGAUACUUCUUUCUUGGCAGCAGAAGGGAAAUUUUUCAGGAGUCUCAAGCCCUGACUCCUACUCUUUAAUGGCACCGAGGGACAACUAAACCACUCAAAGACAUCACCUUCGGCGAGUUCAGGAAGCCACCAAGUAUAAUUUACAUUAUAAUAGAAUGCAGCUCUUAAGCAUUCAGUUGGAUGACUUUGGACAAUUGUGUACAGCUAAGUGAUCACCCAAAUCAUGAUGUAGAACACUUCCAUUUUCCUCCAAAGCUAGAUGACAUGCAUUUUGAAAGUGGGGACCAUUUUCCUUCAUCUGCACAAGGCAUGGCCCAGAGAAGCCCCUCAACACAGAACUGUUGGAAGGGAUGAAGGAAUGAACACCGGCCAAGCAGAGUAAAACCAAGCAGACUUUGCAUGACUGAA